UAGUAAUUGAUGUUUAAAUCUGUUAUAGGAAUUACUAGGAUUUCGUUAGGAAUUGGUUUAGGGUUUAGAGUUUGGUUAGGAUUUGAUUUAGGAUUAGGAUUUGGUUAUGAUUUGGUUUAGGAUUUAAGGUUUGAUUAGGAUUUUAUUUAGGAUUUAGGAUUUGAUUAGGGUUUCAUUUAGGAUUUAGGAUUUGAUUUAGGAUUUAGAGUUUGAUUAGAGUUUGGUUUAGGGUUUAAGAUUUGGUUAAGGUUUGGUUUAGGGUUUAGGAUUUGGUUUAGGAUUUGAUUUAGGAUGUAGGAUUUGAUUUAGGAUUUAGGAUUUGGUUUAGGAUUUUGUUAGGAUUUGGUUUAGGGUUUGGUUAGGAUUUGAUUUAGGAUUUAGGAUUUGAUUUAGGAUUUGGUUGGGAUUUGGUUUAAGAUUUUUUUAGGAUUUGGUUUAGAGUUUAGAGUUUGAUUUAGGAUUUAGGAUUUUAUUAGGGUUUAAGAUUUAAUUAGUUAUGGCCUAAAAUUUGAAGAAAAUCCAAUAGGAUUUUAACUAGAAUUAAAUUAAGAUUGAAUUGAGAUGUAUUUGAGUGAUAUUUGUAAUCAUUCUAAUAUUUCUUUAAGAUUUUUUAUUGCUAGUUUGAAAUUUCUUUGAGGUUUUUUUAAAUUUGAUUAAAGCUUGCUUAGCAUUAUUAUAGUCUAAUUAGAGCAUUAUUAGUAUUCUAUUAGAAUUAGGAUUUUGUUGUUACAAUUUCUAUUCUUUCUUCCACAAUCACGUACUUGGAGCAUUUUCAAGCAAAACAUCACGUAUUACGACAAUAUUGUCAUGUUGUAACAUGAGUAUAUGGUGAAAGAUGAUAAUAUAGAUCUUAUUAUAGAAGAGCCAAGUUAAAAGAAAAGGUAGAAAAAUAUGGAUAAAAGAUAGGAAGGUAGUAAAACUUUUAGUAGUAAUGCUGCCUUUUUAGAAAAAAUAGCUUCUACUUACUUUGAAGAGCCAAAAAUAAGGCAAAAUAAGAUAGAUUAGAAAAAUAAAUGAUAUAGACAUCUUUAGGAAAAAGUUAAGGGUAAAUUCUAGUAAAAAUUACUUUAAAAAAACUAGAUGUUGAUACCAAGAGAGGAUCGGUUAUGAACCAGGAUCAAAAUCAGACCCUGAGGCACAAAACCGAGUCUCGACAAUGAUUCCAAGACUCUUUGGCAGAUCGAAGAGUGGGAUUUGAUAGAAGAUUGGAUAAGGUUUCUAUGGAUAUUGAUUUUGGAUGAUUUGGAAUUGAUAUGACUUUGUAAGAGCUUUGCAAAGUCAAGGUUUGUUUCGGAUGACUUGAGUUUUAUGAAAUAAAAUAGGGCUUACAUUUUGGAUGAUUUCAAGAGUUUUGUAAUAGAUCUAUGGGUGAAAUUUUGUAGGUUUAUGGUUAUAGUUGUGUUUAAUACAUGUUGUGAAUUUGAGCUCGAUCUAAUGGUUGAAUUGAGGAAUAUUGAGGUUUAAAUGGGUCAAGGUCUCAGAAAGUAGAAUUUUAGGUCUAGUGGGAGUUUUUAAGUUUUCUCGCAAUCUAGUAGUUGUAUUAGAGUGAAACUUACGUAAAAAGAUAUUAGACUUGUUUUUCCAUGUGUAAGAGAAUUUUGAGAUCAAUCGAAUGGUGGAAAGGAGAGAUAUUGGCUUUGGAAUAUUGGCAUCAAGAUUGGAAAAGGAGGCCGGCCAAUACAUGAGUGCAUUUUUGAGGUUAUCGUCAAUUUGGUAACUCUGAUCCUUUUCAAUUUUUUUGUGCUUAUUUUGAACUUAUUUUUUAAGAAGUGUGUAAGGUUUGAGUUACGAUCUAUAAUUUAUUCAUUAGUUAUUGAGGUUUAAAUUUUUUAUAGGAAUUACUAGGAUUUGGUUAGGAUUUGAUUUAGGUUAUAGGAUUUGGUUUAGGGUAUAAGAUUUGGAUUAGGGUUUGAUUUAGAGUUUAGAGUUUGGUUAGGAUUUGAUUUAGGAUUUAGGAUUUGAUUAGGAUUUGAUUUAGAAUUUAGGGUUUAUAUUGGGGUUUAGUUUAAGGUUUGUUUAGGAUUUGAUUUAGGGCUUGGUUUAAGGUUUAGUUAAUAUUUUAUUUAGGAUUUGGAUUAGGAUUUGGUUAGGGUUUGAUUUAGGAUUCAGAGUUUGGUUUAAGAUUUGAUUUAGGAUUUAGGAUUUGGUUAGGAUUUGAUUUAGGAUUUAGAAUUUGGAUUAAGAUUUGGUUUAGGAUAUGAUUAAGGUUUUAAUUAGAAUUUAGAGUUUGGAUUAGAAUUAGAUUUAGGAUUUAGGAUUUGGAUUAAGAUUUGGUUAGGGUUUGAUUUAGGAUUUGUUUAGGAUUUGGUUUAGGAUUUGAUUGGGGUUUGGUUUAAGGUUUAUUUAGGAUUUGAUUUAGGAUUUAGGAUUUUAUUAGAAUUUAAGAUUCAAUUAGUUUUGGCCUAAAUUUUGAAUGAAGUUCAAUAAGAUAUUAACUAGAAUUAAAUUAAGAUUGAAUUGAGAUGUAUUUGAGUGAUAUUUGUGAUCCUUCUAAUAUUUCUUUAAGAAUUUUUUUUUUUUUUUUUGAAAUUUCUCUAAGGUUUCUUUGAAUUUGAUUAAGCU
rnacentral:lncRNA from 1 species